AAACACGAUUUAUCAAACCCUUCAUUCUCUCUCUUCACUCACGAAAAUCUAUACUCUCUCUCUAUAUUCACUCUCACAACUCACAAGCCUUCAUUCUCAAAACCCUAAUCGAAUCCCUCUCACUCUCACGGAAAUCAUUCUUGAACCCUAAUCUGUAAGCUUAUUCUCGAAUCCCUCUCACUCUCAUGAAGCCUCAAGAACCCUAAUCUGUAAGAAGAAGAAGAAGCAUGCUUUGUUCCCGUGAGAAGAAGAAACAUAAAGGUAUUCAUCGAAAUUUUCACAGAUUCUUCAUUUGUAUUUCGAUUUUCAUCUUUUCUAUCGUUUUUCUAUCCUCUCAUUUUCGAUUUUCAACUUUUUCCUUUCGAAGUAAACAGGGUAUAUGGAGAGAUCGAAUAGUAUGGAGAAAGUGAAACGAAGCUUAGAUUGUAAUGGUUCUAGGGUGUGAUUUUUAUUUUUGAAAAGUUUUGAUUUUUUUGAGGUUUUGGAUGUGUACACUGCGAAAUUUUUAUUUUUUGUUAUCUGGGUUGUUGCAUGUGUUGGAAAAGAUAGGAUUUUGUUUGUUAACUUAAUUUGUUUUAUAGAUUGUGUACUUGUGUGUUGGAAUAGAGAUUUUUGUAUGUUAAUUUUGUUUGUUUUUCUUUGUUUUAUGGAUUAUGGAUUUGAGGUGCAUGUGGAUAAUGAUGAUGGGAAGCUUGAAGAAAGUGGAGUUGAUAGAAGCAGUUCUGCUUUGUUUUCACCUAAGCAGAUUUCCAACCCAGUUUUGUACAAACUUGUUCAGAGGUAAAAAGGCAUGUGGUUUCUUUUUUGAAUGAGGCAAAGGAAAGACAAGGAUUAGAUAUGCGAGUUUCUUCUCUGUAUGGCUGGCUUGCUGAGGGUUCAUUGUCUAUUGGGUGAUUAUCAUAUUGGUCUUAAGUGCUUGCAACCUAUUGAUAUUAGUCAGCCAGGUGUUUACACCAUUGUCAUUGAUAUUGGUCAGCCAGUUUGAGAGUAAACCUAACAUGAGCGCAAUCGCUUGGUAGGAGGUGGUCAAAAAUCUUCGGUCGUCAUCCUCUCUAAAAGAUUUAUUCUCUUCCUUCAAGUUCAAUGGAAUGUUAAAGUGCAAGUCUGAUAGGUUGUUCUUAGAAGUUCAGAGGCUAAAGAAUAUGCAUACUGGAGUUAAGAACUUGGAUGGUUCUUUGUGAAAUCCUACUGGUUUUUUCAAGUAUGCCCUUUACUUUCCAAGCAUGGUUUGACCAUAGAGGUAACCGAAUAAGAAGAGUCAAGCGAUGAUAGGCGUUUCUGAGUCUAGUUAACACUAAUUAAGGAUUAUGAAGCAACAUCACAUACUAGGGAUAUUUAGAUACUUUUUGAACUUAUUUUGACGUAAUGUUAUGUUUAGCCACUCUACUAAUAUAUUUAUGUUUUAAUUUUUGAAUGUUUGAACUACAUUAGUUUCUUUCGUUUGGAACUUCAAGUACUUGAAUUAAAUUUUUGAUGUAUGGAUUUUGUCAUUAUUGAAUGAAUUAUAUAAAUGAGAUUAAGUUA